rnacentral:rRNA from 1 species
CCUACGGGCGACAGCAGUGAGGAAUAUUGGUCAAUGGACGAGAGUCUGAACCAGCCAAGUAGCGUGAAGGAUGACUGCCCUAUGGGUUGUAAACUUCUUUUAUAAAGGAAUAAAACGAGGCACGUGUGCCUUUUUGCAUGUACUUUAUGAAUAAGGAUCGGCUAAAUCCGUGCCAGCAGCCGCGGUAAUACGGGGGGUCCGAGCGUUAUCCGGAUUUUUUGGGUUUAAAGGGAGCGUAGAUGGGUUGUUAAGUCAGUUGUGAAAGUUUGGGGCUCAACCGUAAAAUUGCAAUUGAUACUGGCAGUCUUGAGUACAGUUGAGGUAGGCGGAAUUCGUGGUGUAGCGGUGAAAUGCUUAGAUAUCACGAAGAACCCCGAUUGCGAAGGCAGCUUACUAAACUGUGACUGACAUUGAUGCUCGAAAGUGUGGGUAUCAAACAGGAUUAGAUACCCUAGUAGUC